AGCAGUCGCCGCGGUAAGACAAAGGAUGCAAGCGUUAUCCGAAAUGAUUGGGCGUAAAGCGUCUGUAGGUGGCUUUUCAAGUCCGCUGUCAAAUCCCCGGGCUCAACCCUGGACAGGCAGUGGAAACUACCAAGAUGGAGUACGGUAGGGGCAGAGGGAAUUUCCGGUGGAGCGGUGAAAUGCGUUGAGAUCGGAAAGAACACCAACGGCGAAAGCACCUUGCUGGGCCGACACUGACACUGAGAGACGAAAGCUAGGGGAGCAAAUGGGAUUAGAUACCGCGUAGUCCCUGUCUCUUAUACA
rnacentral:rRNA from 1 species